rnacentral:rRNA from 1 species
GACGAACGCUGGCGGCGUGCUUAACACAUGCAAGUCGAACGGUGAAGCGCCUUCCUUUUUGGUGGGUGUGGUGGAGGGGCGAAGGGUGGGGUAACAGGGGGGAACCUGCCCCCUUCUUCUGGGUAAACGCCUGGAAAUGGUGCUAAUAAGGGGUUUUUUUGGGUCUUCGGCUUGUUGGUUUGGGGAAGGUUAUGGUUCGGGUGGGGGAGGGGCUCGCGGCCUUUCAGCUUGUUGGUGGGGUGAUGGCCUACCAAGGCGGUGACGGGUAGCCGGCCUGAGAGGGUGGACGGUCACACUGGGACUGAGACACGGCCCAGACUCCUACGGGAGGCAGCAGUGGGGAAUAUUGCACAAUGGGCGCAAGCCUGAUGCAGCGACGCCGCGUGAGGGAUGGAGGCCUUCGGGUUGUGAACCUCUUUCGCCAGUGAAGCAGGCCUGCCUCGUUUGUGGGUGGGUUGACGGUAGCUGGAUAAGAAGCGCCGGCUAACUACGUG